rnacentral:rRNA from 1 species
GACAGAGGGGGCAAGCGUUGCUCGGAAUUACUGGGCGUAAAGGGCGCGUAGGCGGGAUGGCAAGUCGGUCGUGAAAUCCUUCGGCUCAACCGAAGAACGUCGAUCGAUACUGCUGUUCUUGAGGGUUGCAGAGGAGACUGGAAUUCCCGGUGUAGCGGUGAAAUGUGUAGAGAUCGGGAGGAACGACCGGUGGCGAAGGCGGGUCUCUGGCCGUAAC